GAUGAACGCUGGCGGCGUGCCUAAUACAUGCAAGUCGAGCGAAUGGAUUAAGAGCUUGCUCUUAUGAAGUUAGCGGCGGACGGGUGAGUAACACGUGGGUAACCUGCCCAUAAGACUGGGAUAACUCCGGGAAACCGGGGCUAAUACCGGAUAACAUUUUGAACCGCAUGGUUCGAAAUUGAAAGGCGGCUUCGGCUGUCACUUAUGGAUGGACCCGCGUCGCAUUAGCUAGUUGGUGAGGUAACGGCUCACCAAGGCAACGAUGCGUAGCCGACCUGAGAGGGUGAUCGGCCACACUGGGACUGAGACACGGCCCAGACUCCUACGGGAGGCAGCAGUAGGGAAUCUUCCGCAAUGGACGAAAGUCUGACGGAGCAACGCCGCGUGAGUGAUGAAGGCUUUCGGGUCGUAAAACUCUGUUGUUAGGGAAGAACGAGUGCUAGUUGAAUAAGCUGACACCUUGACGGUACCUAACCAGAAAGCCACGGCUAACUUCGUGCCAGCCGCCGCAGUAA
rnacentral:rRNA from 1 species